GACGAACGCUGGCGGCGUGCUUAACACAUGCAAGUCGAACGGAAAGGCCCUGCUUUUGUGGGGUGCUCGAGUGGCGAACGGGUGAGUAACACGUGAGUAACCUGCCCUUGACUUUGGGAUAACUUCAGGAAACUGGGGCUAAUACCGGAUAGGAGCUCCUGCUGCAUGGUGGGGGUUGGAAAGUUUCGGCGGUUGGGGAUGGACUCGCGGCUUAUCAGCUUGUUGGUGGGGUAGUGGCUUACCAAGGCUUGGACGGGUAGCCGGCCUGAGAGGGUGACCGGCCACAUUGGGACUGGGAUACGGCCCAGACGCCUACGGGAGGCAGCAGUGGGGAAUAUUGCACAAUGGGCGGAAGCCGGAUGCAGCAACGCCGCGUGCGGGAUGACGGCCUUCGGGUUGUAAACCGCUUUCGCCUGUGACGAAGCGUGAGUGACGGUAAUGGGUAAAGAAGCACCGGCUAACUACGU
rnacentral:rRNA from 1 species